UGUAAUCACAGACAGAAAUGUACUGUAUACAUUUGCAGUUGAUAAUUGCUAUUAAGCGUAAUGUAAGUACGCCGACGCAAAUGGGGAGAGCCGCUUUUGAGCGGUUCUUUUUUGUUUAAAA
rnacentral:ncRNA from 1 species